AUUGAACGCUGGCGGCAUGCUUUACACAUGCAAGUCGAACGGUAACAGGCCUUCGGGUGCUGACGAGUGGCGAACGGGUGAGUAAUGCGUCGGAACGUACCCAGAGGUGGGGGAUAACGCAGCGAAAGCUGUGCUAAUAACGCAGGUGAUCUGAGGAUGAAAGCGGGGGACCGAGCAGCAAUGUUUGGCCUCGCGCCUUUGGAGCGGCCGAUGUCGGAUUAGCUAGUUGGUGGGGUAAAGGCCUACCAAGGCGACGAUCCGUAGCUGGUCUGAGAGGCAGACCAGCCACACUGGGACUGAGACACGGCCCCGACUCCUACGGGAGGCAGCAGUGGGGAAUUUUGGACAAUGGGCGCAAGCCUGAUCCAGCAAUGCCGCGUGCGGGAAGAAGGCCUUCGGGUUGUAAACCGCUUUUGGCAGGAACGAAACGGUGUCCGCUAAUACCGGGCGCUAAUGACGGUACCUGCAGAAUAAGCACCGGCUAACUACGUG
rnacentral:rRNA from 1 species